GAUGAACGCUGGCGGCAUGCCUUACACAUGCAAGUCGAACGGCAGCACGGGUGCUUGCACCUGGUGGCGAGUGGCGAACGGGUGAGUAAUACAUCGGAACGUACCUUAUCGUGGGGGAUAACGCAGCGAAAGUUGCGCUAAUACCGCAUACGCCCUGAGGGGGAAAGCGGGGGACCGUAAGGCCUCGCGCGAUUAGAGCGGCCGAUGUCUGAUUAGCUUGUUGGUGAGGUAAAAGCUCACCAAGGCGAUGAUCAGUAGCUGGUCUGAGAGGACGAUCAGCCACACUGGGACUGAGACACGGCCCAGACUCCUACGGGAGGCAGCAGUGGGGAAUUUUGGACAAUGGGGGCAACCCUGAUCCAGCAAUGCCGCGUGAGUGAAGAAGGCCUUCGGGUUGUAAAGCUCUUUUGUCAGGGAAGAAACAGCAGCUCUAACACAGUCUGCGAAUGACGGUACCUGAAGAAUAAGCACCGGCUAACUACGUGCCAGCAGCCGCAGUAA
rnacentral:rRNA from 1 species